ensembl:lncRNA
AUAUCAGUAAAGAUAUAGACUGAACAUUAAAUAUGAUGUGAAAGUGCCAGUAUAAAGCUGCAAGCUGUUUAGUUUGUCUCUGAUUUUUGAAAGAGCGCUAAUGAAUCAAUCAAGCAUGUAAAAUGUCAAAAAAAAAGUUUUGGGGAAGUCACAAGUGUUUAUUUGGACAACAAAAAAGUUACUGAAAAAAUUAAUGUUAAUCAGUUUGAUGUUAUUUUAGUGAAGUUAAACCUAGGCUAUUUCUGAUUCAUUGGUGUAGAGGCAAAAGAGAAACUGACUCAGGACACAGCCCUAAAAUCUAGUUAUAAAUAGUUCUAAUAAUAAGUAGCUAUAAAAACUUUUACAAGAAUUUUGCCCAUGUGUUCGAUUUAUGUUACUAAGCAGGACAUCACAACUGUGGUCUGAAACAGGAAAUGGUUUUCAGUUUGCAAAGUAAACAGUACAUUUGCAUUAUGACUGAAACUAGCACUGGCACAAAACAGACAUCUCGACACAGUAUAGACUCGAUUAUAAAUACACUAAGAGUUUUCUGUGGAGAACAAGCACAACAAACAAAAGGUGAAAACAUUGACACUGACAAUAAAAAAAUUAAAAAUUAAAACAGAAAAAAAAAAGAGAGAAACCCAGGACGUCAGAGAUAUUGUAAACGACACUAAGAUGUCAAGAUGUUGAUACAGAAAUUAAACAAAAAGAGGCACAAACAGGAACACUUAGGUGACUAUUGCUGGGAAUAAUAACACCUGACGUAAACCAAAGCAAGAAAUAUCAUAAAAAUUAAGAUACAACACUAGAAUAACGAUAAAAUAGACACACAGGAAUCAAAGGUUACAAUCAAAACAAGAAUAUUAACAUUUCAAAUGGAAAAACAAAACAACAAAACGCCAAUUAUGAGGUAUAAGCUAUCUAAAUACAAGCUAUAUAACGAAGAAGUCAAGACAAUCUGAAUUGCCCAUGGUAUCGAUUCAAAUUGUCCUCUGGCACAGUUAUAGGUAUUAGUUGCUACUAAAAAC